GACGAACGCUGGCGGCGUGCUUAACACAUGCAAGUCGAACGGAAAGGCCCUGCUUUUGUGGGGUGCUCGAGUGGCGAACGGGUGAGUAACACGUGAGUAACCUGCCCUUGACUUUGGGAUAACUUCAGGAAACUGGGGCUAAUACCGGAUAGGAGCUCCUGCUGCAUGGUGGGGGUUGGAAAGUUUCGGCGGUUGGGGAUGGACUCGCGGCUUAUCAGCUUGUUGGUGGGGUAGUGGCUUACCAAGGCUUUGACGGGUAGCCGGCCUGAGAGGGUGACCGGCCACAUUGGGACUGAGAUACGGCCCAGACUCCUACGGGAGGCAGCAGUGGGGAAUAUAGCACAAUGGGUGGAAGCCUGAUGCAGCAACGCCGCGUGCGGGAUGACGGCCUUCGGGUUGUAAACCGCUUUCGCCUGUGACGAAGCGUGAGUGACGGUAAUGGGUAAAGAAGCACCGGCUAACUACGU
rnacentral:rRNA from 1 species